rnacentral:rRNA from 1 species
CGACCUGCACGAAUGGAGUAACGACUUGGGCGCUGUCUCAACCAUGGACUCGGCGAAAUUGCACUACGAGUAAAGAUGCUCGUUACGCGCGGCAGGACGGAAAGACCCCGGGACCUUUACUAUAGUUUGGCAUUGGUGUUUGGUUCGGCUUGUGUAGGAUAGGUGGGAGACUGUGAAGCGGCCACGCCAGUGGUUGUGGAGUCAAC